UAUAAUAAUUUACAAGACCUUUUGUAAGUAAUUUUAAUAUUUUUUGCGCAGUUACGUAUUAGUAUAUGAGUAGGAUCAGUGUUAUGAACAGAAGUGUCUGGAGAGUAAGGAGUUAUAUAUUCUGACAGAUAUCACAAUGGAAUCUAUCUAUGACUUUAGGCAAUUGCCCGAACCUCAUUAUAACGAGAUCAUGGAGAAAUACAGGAUUUUCAUGGAGAAUGCUGACCAGCUUGAGGAGCCACCCGUUGCGGUGUUCAGUCCCCUGCCUGAGGAGCAGGUGGUACAGCUGAGCAUGAUACGAACGUAUAGCGAAGAACUUCAGAAGAAGAAAGAUUUGGAUAUUAAAAGCAAGAAAUCAGAGGUUGGUGAUGGUGAAGAAUCGGAAAACUUGUAGAAGAUGAAAGAAACUAACCACUCCUAAAAUAGUACUAUAAAAAAAUUAUAUAUAUAUAUAUACUUAGUCUACCUAGGUAGGUUUGAGGUUAAACUGUAAAUGUCCGCCGUCGUUUAUAUAAAACAAUCCUUCGCUCGCAUUAAUUUCCCACCAAAACAUUUAUUUUUCCGGGAUGAGAUGAGAGAAGUACUUCUCCACACUUCAAACUACAUGUAUGCAAAAUUUCAAGAAGAUUGGUUGAGUCGAUAUAGCUUAAAAAGGUAACAAACUUACUUUCAAAUUAGUAAUAUUACUAGAUGUGGCCCGGGGCUUCGCUCCCUUGGGAAUUUUUUGAUAAAGUAUAGCCUAUAGCAAUCUUGGAUAAUGCAUCUUUCUAAUGAUGAAUUUCGAAAUUCGAAAUUUCGAAUUUUUGAAAUCGGUUCGGUAGUUUCGGAGAUUACCCGCCUCAAACAUACAAACUCACAAACGCUUACCUCUUUAUAAUAAUAGUAUGUAGUUACGAUUUGAAUGGGUCCGGCGUUAUCUGCACAUGUUAAAAGUUUACGGCAAAGUUGACUGGUGCAACCUACCCUAAUAAUAACAAGUAACCUAUUGUACAUACUUUAAAAAAUAUUUAAAUAGUUUAUUCUUUUCAUUUUGUUUGCCUCUCUCUUUAUUUUGUACCUUGUAUUAAAGUUAUGCCACUUUGCUACGUUCCAGCGAUGUUUUCUAUAAGAUUUGACGUUGAUGUAGGUGGUACGUCGAAAUUCCACCAUUAAUAAUUUUGUACAUCGUUCUGAUUUAAUUCGUCAACGUAGCAGAGGACCACAGAACGCUACGGAGCAAUGGGGCAUGGCUGUUACUAUAUCUAUCUUAAUAUUUGUAAGUUUUGGUGCAAUAUUUUUUUUUUGUUAAAAGUUAAAUAAAUUAUCGACUUGUGUU